AAAAUUCUAUUUCACUUGUAAUGAGAUGAUUGAUAAUAAUAAAAAUUCUAUAAAUUGAUUUUAAACAUAAAUUAUAAAAAUGGAGGAGUUUGGACUUUUUAAACAUAAAUUAAGAAACUGCCUUCAAAGGUCUAUCUUGCACUAAACAAGCCUAAAAGGAUAAAAGACUUCCUGGAGAACCAAAACCUCGGCUCUUUACAGUCGGCAGACUUGAUGUUGCCACAACUGGAGCUUCAUCAUAUGCCCUUGGUGCUUCUUCAGUUGUGUCUAAGGUGUGGAUGAUAUGGACAUCUUCAAAGGCAUUACUUUGAAAUUGCUAGCAUUUGAGUACCUACUACAGUAGGACCAGAACUUACAGGGGAAACUUGUUGUUGUUCAAAUAGUAAAUCCCGCUCGUAGCUUGAGCAAAGAUGUUCAGGAAGCAAAGAGGGAGACAUAUUCAACUGCUAAAAGGAUCAACCAAAUUUACGGAGUUGUACAAGGCAAUGAAGGGCUUGGGGACGAAUGAUACGACUUUCAUUAGGAUAAUAGUCAUGCAAACUGAGAUUGACAUGCAGUAUAUAAAAGCAGAGUACCAGAAAAAGCAUAUGAAAUCUCCUAAUGAUGUUGUUCAUUCGGAGACUUAUGGUGAUUAUUGGACCUUUCUUGUAUCUCUUCUGGGGCCUGGUCACUAAAUAAAGAGUCCACACCAUACAAAUAGGUGUUAUUAGUAUGGCAUCAGUAUUGAAACCAUUGUGUGUAAAGCAGGCCGUUUCUAUUGCAUGCUAAUUAAUGUUUACUUUGUUGCCGAGUUUAUCGAUCUUUGAGUGAAGCAAUUAGAGUAAAUCCAUGGGAUAUUGAAGCUGUGGCUCAGGCUUUAAAUGUGGCCCUUACAAUGUCUGAUUUCGAGAAAUAGCUUCGUCAUGAGAAGCACUACCGCUAUGUAAGCUCUCAUGAUGUAGCUUACUGGGCUCGUAGCUUUAUGCAUGAUUUGGACAGAGCUUGAAAAGAUCAUUAUAGUACGCAUUGCUGGAGCAUUAGUCUUGGCCUGGGCUUCAUAGUUAUUGGACUUUCUCCCUUUUUUAGAAAGCUGUCUAUUGAUCACAUGGUCUCCUCAUAUAGGAAGAUACAGAGAAGGGAAAUAUUCUUGGACUAUGAUGGCACUGUAGUACCUUAGUCAUCAUUGAUUAAAGCUCCAAGUGCUAAAGUUAUUAUGCUGUUGAGUUCCUUAAGCAAUGAUCCUAAAAACACAGUGUAUAUUGUUAGUGAAAGAGGAAGAAGUUCAUUAAGUGAAAGGCUUGUACUAUGUGAAAGGCUCGGAAUAGCUGCUAAACAUGGGUAUUUCAUUAGGUAUGGAUAUUUUAUGUAAACAUGACGUAGUCCUUUCUGUAUCUUGAUAUUUUGGUGCUAUUUCUUUCUUCUUGCAACCCUUCUUCGAAUAACUUCUCUUUCAAGCCGAGGGUCGAUCAAAAUCACCUCUCUACCCUACAAAGGUAGGAGUAAGGUGUGUGUAUGUCUUACCCUUCCCUUCCCAAACCCUACCUUUGGGAUUGCACUGGGUAUUUUUUGUUGUAUGAUGCAAUCCUUUGUUGUAGUUGCUCUAUAAAUUCUCAUUAGGAAUUUUUCUUCUGAAGUUUUCCUUGGAUACCUUCAUGUUAACUAGGAUUGUAUCAUGUUGCAGGGGUAGUAAAAUAUCAGAUUGGGAAUGUAGGGUAGUUUGGUGUAUUAACGUUCUCGCCAUGCACAUGAACGACUGUCAUUUUCUGAUGCUGCAUAUUUUAACUGGUGUUGGUAAAUAAUUUCAAUAGAGAAUCACUUAAAGAUAAAGAAAAUUCAUGAGGCAUUAGAAACUGGACACCGAGGAAGGAUUUUCAGUUGAUCCUUUCACUUGUAUGAAGUCUGAGCAUUUUCGUACAUAGAUUUAGCAAAUUUAGCUCAUGAAAAUAUAAUAACCCGUCUAACUCCUUCAGAUGUGAACGGAAUGGUCUGCGCAUGCAUUCAGGACAUUUACAUGAUCACUCAACCUUGAUCAAAGUAGAUUUUAGGUGAAUUAUGACCCAUUCUAUUUACUGAUUUAACCCGUUCAAAUUAGUCAAACCUCCUUAUGUGACACCCUUUACGAUUUAACUUGAGGCAAGACUUUUGAUUUGAUUUUGUAGGGGUUAGUGAGUGACUUUAAAAUUCCCAAAGGUGAGGACCCAAGUUUAGAGAAAUAUCAAUUCUAGUGGCUCUAUACAAACGGGUUACUUGAGUCAUUUUUUCCUUUGGCCUUGUCUACACAUCAUUGAAAAACAGAAAAGCAAGGUCAUGGUGGUAUGGAACUGGAAUGUCAUGCAAAUAUUUAAUCACUAAUAUGGUCAUUUUUACAGCAUUUCUUACACUAUCGAUGCAUGUAAUAUAAAUCUUCUCAUGAAGUUGCAUGUAUGUAUGUAGUGUCUAUUGGCUAACUAAUUUUACUUUAUUUUCUCAUUGAAUCAUGGUGAUUCAGAAGCUUUAUUGCGGAUUAUGGAGUUCCUUUAAUGGUUCUUGUAUGGUCGAAACUCUCAUAUUAAGUGCCAAGCAAAGUGCCCUCUGGAGUUCCCAGAAGGCUCUUUAGUGUCCCCUUCUUUGGGAAUCUGCAUCUCUACAUCACUGGACUGUAAUCAAGGUGCUUUGAUUCUGAACGGAUUGAUCGAUUAAUCUUCUGUUGGUUAUUGAAAAAUCUUGAAAUUCGUGGAAUCAGCCACUGAUGUUUAUGUCAGCAUACAAUGCAUCUUGUUCGUUUAGGCCUUGCAUGAACACAGGAUGCUUUGUACAUCGAUCUGCACUUUUGUACUGUAAAAUCUUGAAAUGAACACAUGAUAUAUCAAUUGUAGGAUAUGGGAAAGGUUUCUCCAUACAUCGUUGCUGCCUUAAUUCCAGCUGUAAUGAUAGCUGGACUUUAUUUCUUUCAUCAUACUAUUGCUUCACAAAUGGCACAACAAAAGGAAUUCAAUUUUAAGAAUCCUUCAGCUUAUCAUCGUGACCUCUUGCUCUUGGGAUUUAUGACUUUUCUUUGUGGCUUAAUUGGAGUGCUCCUUCAAAUGGUGUCCUGCCACAGUCCCCUAUGCAUACAAAGAUCUUGGCUAUUCUCAAGAGACAGCUGAUUCGGAGGAGGAUGGUCAAAAGUGCCAAGGAGAGUAUAAAGCGACAGGCUAGCAACUCUGAAAUCUUUGUCAAUAUGCAAGCAGUUUUCAUAGAGAUCGAUAGUUCUCCUGAUACCACAGUAGCUAAAAAGUUGGAACAUCUAAAAGAGGCAGUAAUGAGAAGUACUGAAAAAAAUGGAGAUAAAGCAGAGGUCACAUUUGAUACCAUUGGAGAAUCGAUAGUUGGAAGCUCCAUUUAAUAGUUAUAUUGUUUCUACUACUCAUUACAGCAUCGCUCUGGAGUAUGAGCAUAGGACUGGAGGUAAAUGAAUUCAGCAGGGGCAUCCCAAAAGAACAAUUGUGGCUGGCCGUUAUAGUUGGUUCAUUUGGUGUGUGGAUCAGAUGGUUCUUGCAUGACUAACAAUAUAUCAGUAGCUUGCAGUAGUUUCAACCUUGAAGAAAGUAGUGAAUAUACAUAUACUUUUCUUUACCUAAAUGCUUCAUGUCGUAAUGUGCUACAUAAUAGAUGUUUGUAGUAUUUUUGCCUAACUACCAAAGUGUUCUGCCGUUGACUGUUUCGUAAAAUUUGUGCUUCAUUUGUAAAACUGAAGAGAAUAAUAGAAACAAAACAUAAUUGUUGAAUGAUGCAACUAAAUAUCUUUUCA